CGGGGCCACAGCGGUGCGGGCACGGCGGCAGCUCUGCUGUGCUGCCCGUGGCGGCCCGAGAGCGGCCGUUCCGUUCGGGGCUAUCGCAGCGGGGCCUGGGCUGUGAGCCCAGCCUUUAGCAUGAACUGCACUAAGAGCUGCCACUACCGAAACCUGAAAUGAAAUUUAGACCGCGAGUUGGGUGUGAGGUCAAUAGUUUCGCCACUUAGCCGGAUCGCUGUUACGCAGCGAGGGCAAGCUGAAUUUAUUUAGCUGUCAGACCAGAGUUCUUCUGAGUUAACUGAUUCCAGAACUGUUACAAUAGCAGAAAUGUUCUUGUUUCAUUGAUGCAGGAGAGAAGGCUUUUGACUACAGUUUCUCUUGCUCUCCUGUCCUCCUUGGGAUGUUUUCAGCCCUGAAUGAGAACAGAAACUUCAGAUCACUGCUUUGCCUUCACUCAUAUCACUUCACAGGAGACCAGAUGUUCCUCAUUUCAAAGAGAGCAGUGACCAGGAGUGCUGCAGGCAGGAACCACAAACAGAAACCUGGCACUUAACUUCCUUGACAAAUGGCUUUUUUGCUUCACUUCUUAUUUGUUCUGAGAAGCUAUGAAUGUUGAAGCUAUGGAAGUUGAUAUUCUAUCAAGAAUCAAAAUUUAAAGUAAUGGAAUUAAAGUCAAAGUAAUAUACCAGUUUUCAUGGAAGUUCAUGAAGGAUUGUCUUCCAUGGGAUGGACCCCCACACUGGAGCAGGGAAGGAGUGUGAGGAAUUCCACACGGAGGAGGAAGGAGCAGCAGAGACAACCUGUGGUGAGCUGACCACAGCCCCAUCUCCUGUCCCACCUAACUGCUGGGGGAGAGGAGAAAGAGAAUUUGGGAUUAAAGUUAAACCCAGGACAUAGGUAGAAGGUGUUUCAAGAUUUGUCUUUAUUUCUAAUUAACCUACUUUGAUUUGUUUGGUAAUAAAUUAAACUAAUUUUCUCAA